rnacentral:tRNA from 1 species
UGGUGCUGGCAGGGAUGGACAGCCCUUCCUGAGGGCUGGUGGCCCGUGGCGCCGACGGCUCAGAACUCGUCGGCGCCGU